AUCCCUAUCCGCUUGCCCCUGCUCCCGCACGCUACGCCCAGGACCAAGGCGACCGGUGCCCCGGCUCCAGGAGCAUACAGCAGGCGCGACCAAGAGCAGAGGGCCGGCGGGCCGCAUCGCCUGGGCCUCCCCCGCGCGCGCCCGGCGCGACCAGGAGCUGGCGAGCAGCACACCGACUGCGGAGCUCGGCGAGCAGGAGCAGCACGUGCGGUCGCAGACGUCGGCGUGCUCGCGCCCAUCGCACCCGAUUCGGCUCGUCGUCUCCUGCAGAUCUCCGACCGAGUCCCUUGUUGCCCACUGCAUUAAUCUCCGGCCAGCUCCGUGGUUUGAGCAAAGAAAAAGGAGGUUUUGAGAAGACAAAGGUAUGGCGUAAUCCAUCCUAAUCCUGCCAGGUUCGAUAAUCUCCGGCCAGCUUCGUACUAAGUUUGCAGGAAACAGAAAUUUUUGUUAGAUUGUUCUAGAUGCAUUUGUAUAAUUUAUCUCAAUUGGAGUAAAAGUAAUUGUCUCUGGACUCCCUUGAAAAUUACGUCUAAUGCAGACCUCCUAAUCCUGUUCCAAUAAUUUAUCAAAUUGUUAAGUGGUAUGUCUGCAAUAUUUCUAUCUUUAUUGACACUUUAUAGCAGAUAAUUUAGUGUGUAUUUUUGUCAACUAAGCUUCACUAGCACUUGAGAACUGUUCAUUGGCCUAUUAGAAUUCACAGGUUAGAAUAUUUUAAUGUGCAUUGUCUUGUAAAACUUUGUCCACUCGUUAGAAUAUUAAUGUGCAUUCACAGGUUAGAAUAUUAAUUAUAUAGCACAGUAGAUAUGCCUAGUCUGUCCACUCGUUUGCUUGUAAAACUUUGUUUCUUCGGAGCUUGUGCUGACUUUCUUAUUUUCUUCAGAGCAAAAAUAUCUCAAAAGGAGCUUGUGCAGCCAUGCGUGCUACUGUAUAAGAAACUUCUUCUAAACUUCAUGAUAGUUAUUUCCUUUUUUCAAAGAAUUCUCUUAGCUACAGACUGAUGUUCCAUAUAAUUUUUUUUUAUAGAAACAACAGCAUGGUACAGGCAGUAGGUUAGUGAUCAGCUCAACGAUGGUAUAAGAGUGUUUAUGUUCAUUAGCAAUUUAUUUUUACAAAUGGUUAACUUUCUGUUGUUUGAUUAUUUUGCUCAAACACUUCCAUAUAUGCACUAGGCUGGCACUACAGUAUUUUUGAAGAGCUGGAAAAGUCAAAAUAAGAAAGUAGCUGUUUCUACAGUAGUAAGUUGUGAUCCAACACACAAACUUGAUGGUGUCCCAAUAGGAAAUGAAUUAGUGCGUGUCAAUGUUGUAAUUGCUGCAGACGAAGCAUUGAUACGGCCAUACAAAACCUACAAAUUUGUCGGUGAUGCAGAUGGAGCUAAUAUUGCUUGGCCUUCAACAUUUGUUGAAAAGAUAAAUUGGUGAUGGUUUCAAUGACAAGCUUGACGGAGGAUGGACAGUGGUGGUGGCAUUUGCAAAAUACUAUUCCUUGUGUUUAAUAUUUGUUUCAAUAGGAAAUGAUGUUUAGAUCAAACUUCUAUCAUGAAUCAUGUGGAUGGUAUUCAAUGUAAUGCAACAAUUCCAUUUCAAUAUAUCAGUGUUUAUUUGCCA